rnacentral:lncRNA from 1 species
GUGGUUCAAAGUUUUACAGGCACACUGCGUGCUAAAAAGUUAUCUGGCUAGGAGCGGUGGGUAGAAAGAACCAAACCUUUCGUAGAUCUCAAGGGAAAUUUUGGUUAGCUUACUUUAAAAGGGAAAGAAUGAACGAAGUAAAUAGGCGAGGGAAUCUAAGCAGAUUGAGGAACUUGAAAGAAUGGAAACUAGUUGUGUGCAGACAGAAAAUACCUCUUAGGAGGUUAUGGCAACUUCCUGGAGUCGUCUUAUCAGGCGUCUCUUCUCUUGCUUGAAAUAGAGACAGAGGAGAAGCUUUUCUUAUCACUGGGGUUUCUAAAGGAAGUUAGAUCUUGGGGAAGCUUAAGAUGGGAUCGUGAAUUUUGAGACUCAUGAUCAAAUCUCUUAAGUCACCUGCUUUUUAAGUACUGUUUAACCUUUAGCAUAAAAGAUACUUUAGCAAAAUCUCUCUCCCAGCUAAUGUACUGCAGUAAAGAAACACGUCAGUUUAGAGCCCCUAUGCUUAGAGUAAACCUGGUAAUCUUGCUUUCUUUGAGAAGUUUCUAAAUGCCUUUAUUUCUAGCCUUCGGUUGGAAUCCUAAAACCUCUAUUGGAGAGAAACUCCUGUCCAGAGUAAUGGCAGACACAAAAACUAGCUUCUCUCCAUCCUGCUUUAGAGACUAAAGUUUGGGUCAGCUUGGGUGAAAACCAUGGGAGGAAAAGUCUAAUUUUUGAAUUAGACUUAUUUGUGGGAAGCAAACAUCCUUUGUGUGGUGUGUUUAGUGAAGGAGGGAGCUAAAGUGAACUUCAAGCAUCAUGUGGCUUUUGAGCCCUCUUACCAAGGAGUGGGGUCUUAGUUACAUUCCCUUUGAAAGCAGCUGUCUGAUCUGAAGAUACUUUGUAUAAAACCUGUGGGCUGAAACCUUAUACCUGGAUGUGGAGGUGGAGGGAAAUGUAUUAUCUCACCUUGUGAUCUUCAUUCAGUGCCAGAUUUACUCACCUGGAAGCACUUUCCUGAUAGGUGAAUGAUUAGGAGAAGCUUUUGCAGCUGGGAGAGUGAGGAAACUAUCUAGUUAGAUGGUGGCCACCCGGAGCACUAGAAGGAUUGUGGGGCUUCCUUAAGCUUGUCAAGAGACAAAAGUGCCUGUUACAGGGGAAGGGGAUGAUGUGGCAUCUCUGUGAGAGACUCAAGAACAUGCUAUGUGAUGGACGUAUUCAUUCUCUUGACUGACUUCACAGGUGCUGCAUAGCAGAUUGUAUUGCAGUUUCUUUAGGUCAACUAUAUAAAGCUUUCUUCUAAAAAUCACACUUCUCAAACACCUAGGUCACUUUCUUUAAGAAAAAGCUGGAAAAAUGGAGAAAAAGUUCGAGUCAGGACAUGCACCUUUGUCUACUCUCAUCUCCGUCAGUGUGGAGUUACUUUGUUUACAAUGUACUUAUGAAGGAAGCAGGGCUCAGAAUAGCAAAGAUCACAUGGAUACCCGACUCAAGAGAUGUGUGGUUCUGUGCUGGCAAUCUGCUUAACAUAGAAUUUCUUGACAGAAAAGACCUGGGAUCUUGAGAGGCCCAGCCUUUCUAAGCAACACUGUUAGUUAAUGGUUAUAACUAGAACUGAGUGUGGGGCAGGUGGUGGUGGGGGGGGGGGCGGGGGGGGGGGGGGAAGAUGAAGCCCAGGGAAAGGGAUGGGUGGCUCUGCUUCUCCAUGGCUGCCUAACAACACUGAAAACCAAUUACCUAAUUACUCAUCCUGUAGACUCCUUACCUGUAAUUGUGUAUCUUUAUUGAUAGGAAAAUUUUUCUGCUUCCAGAAAUUCCAAAAGCUGGUGUACUAGUGACUUGAUUCUGUCAACCAAGAACUUGGUUAAAUUUAGGUGUGAAUUCUAAGAUAUUAUAGUGCAUGGUAUAGCUUGUCUACUAGCACUUUGUUUUAUGUAACUUUAUCAAACACUAUGAAAACCAAGGAAAACAAAUGAAAAGUGAACCUCUGUCUACAACUUCACUUUCAAAUCGAUGAAAUACCUCAAUGGAUUAUCAGGCAAAGAAAACACCUCAAAAGAUGACAGUGGAGGCACAAAAGUUUCGCCUUUCCCCCCUUAGAAAUGCAGGGCAAAACAAUUGUCAUCUGUUUACCCAAUUAAGGGCUUAACUGCAGGUGAGUCCUAUGAAGCUGCUGUCUACAAGUAGUUGGUGUUACUGGACAGGCUUCUGGAGAGCCACAUGGCUCUAGAUAUCAAACGUAUGAUGGGUUAGGAGGAGACAAGUUUAUAGCUGAAACCAUGAGAGUGGGGAGAAGGAAUUUGAGUAGUAUCAAGCUUCUCAAAUGUCAACUUAUGUUUAGAACAUGACAUGAAAUAGCGGAAGACUCCCCUCCGCAAAUGGGAACCUGGCUGUGCCUUAGGCCGUUUCGUCUGUGUGGAUGCCUCUCUGAGCUUUGGCCUAAUGUGCACUCUGCCUGCUUUCUGGCCACUGGGCUCAGUUUAGCCCAAACCUCGGCUUAUGUUUUCUCUUGGAACUUGUCUGAGAUUCAGCUCAUAGUAGCCAAAACCCUGACUAGCCCUUAGGGUGGCAUUAAUUGAAAUUCCUCAGUUGUGCCAAGGCCACUUCGAGAUCAACUCAUUCUUUUGGUUUUUGCUUAGUAUCCAGUGUUGACUGAGUUGCUCAACACUAGCGUCCAGUGGCUGCUUUCCUAGGAAACUGGUUGUAUCAUGUCUCAUUUCUUAGCACCAAAUCUAUCAAACUGUCCUUAGUUGAAGACAACUACUUUAUCUUAAUUGUAAUAAGCCACUCAGACAAGUACUAAGCAAUGAAAAGGGGGUAGUGGGAAAAUGGGCAAAGGUGAAGAAAUUCAAUAAUAGAAGUUGGAACCAGGUGAACUAAAACCCGUGCCUCUGGGAGAAGCUAUUAGUUUCUCUAGAAGGAUUUGUUAAAGGUAGCUAACUGAUUAUCAAGAGCCCUUCCUCCCGUUAAUCUACCUGUAGGUGAGCCAACAUGAGAUGUUGUAAUUCAAGCCAGUGGCUUUUGAACAUUUUUGUGGAAUCUCGAUGUAUAGCAAAGUAAGAAACCUGAUCUAGGAGCAGGGGAGUGUGUGCAGAACCCUUCAACUAAUCUCCUGUCCCAAGGAGCCCAGAGAAUACCCAAGGUACUGGGGAACACAGUUUGAAAGGGUCUAAAUACCAUACUUCCGCUUAUUGAAGGAUACUCACGCAUUACAGUUCUUAAAAGCCAGCUUCUGUUCAGGGAGACACCUCAAGCUCUGCAGCUGUGGUUACAGCGGUAACCUCUUCAAAUUCUGAGGCUGCCUCUAGGGAAACUCCUGAUCUAGGCCUAAUCUUGUUUCUUAUGUUGCAGGUUUGAGCUUGAGUAGAAGUGAACACACACAGGGUCUAUGGCUUGUUUCAGUACUGCCGAGUCUGAUGUCUUAAGAGGCAUAGAGGUGGAGUUGCAGGGAGCAUGGCCUUGACCGUGGUCCUGAAUCCUUUGAUCUGCAAAGCAAUUUGCUUACAAACAGCUCUUUCAGGCAUCUGAUUCUGUUGAACUCGGAUGGCUGGCAUUUUUUCCUCCAGGGAACCAAUCCUUUAGAACCCUGUGGGUGAGAGCUGUGGUGGCCAGAGGUUAUCCAGGUCCAACAGUUCACCUUUCUCCUGCCUCUCAAACUACAGCAAUAGUUGUGAGACCGGUGGCUGAAGGAAGUGAGGGUCCUGCCCUCCAGGAGCCUAAAGCGUAACUUGAGAAGGAACACAAACACCCAGCUGUGGCAUAAGGGCAAUGCGAAACUCUCCACAGGAAGGGGUGAGGGCAUGCUGGCUGGAAAUCAGAGCUGACUUGCAAGUUGGGCUUUUUUUUCUUUGAAGUAACUUAGGAAACAAGGCUGGAGUGGAUUUCGACUUUGCCCUAGACUUUUCAUCAAAAUGACCUUGUGUGUCUAACCCCGGCACAGUCUUAUUCAGAGUAGGUGAUAGAGAGGGGCUUGAUAAGAACCUAGUAGGAAGUGUGAAGUGAGGGGAAUGAAGCUUCCUUUCAGUAGCAGGAAAGCCCUGUAGGUGACCACAAAAUGUGGUCUGUCUUUCCCUAAUGUGGUGGCCCAGUGGAAGCAAGGCUAAGCUCUGAAAUGAGGAGGAAGCUUGGAAAAGCCCAGGUUGGUUUUGCUCUGUGCUGGUGAGGUUUUGGAAGCAGUUGAGUGAAUUUUCAGAGGCUAGAUCAGGCAUGGUCAACUAAACGACAAGCGAUAGUUGUCUAAAGAUAUUUAAUAUACCAUUUCAUCUUUGGGUCUUAGGAACUGCCAGGGGAGAUGGGCUGUGGUAUAAACUAAACAAGUCGAUGAUCUUGUCUAGUUCUUUGAAAUCAAGUUUUCUAAUCCCUAAGAACCCUCAACUUCUACCUGAAGCUGCAUAUGUAACUUCAGGUGUUAUAGUGGCCUCAUUAAAAAAAUAUACUAACCCAAUAGACAAAAUAUUUCGAAGUGUAACAACUUACGUGCCUACGUAUUUUUGCUACUAAGUCUGAAAUCUAGUAUGCAUCUUAAAGUUGCAGCACAUCUCAAUUCAGACUAGCCCUGUCUCAAGUGUUCAAUGGCUAGGGGCUAUCGUGUUGGACUAGAUAAAAGAAGAGGUAACUUCAGGGCCUAUUCCUCUUGAACUUCACUUGCCGCCUGUUCUAGAGAUGUUGGUCUAAACUGACUUGCAUACGAUGUAGUUUCAGUAUUGCUGUCACUUGUGUGCAAACCUGUCAAGAGGGAAAUUCCCAGGAACCAGAACAUUGGAACCAUUGAAACUACUUACUUGAACUUUGUCAGAAUGACUGCCUCAUGUUUAACACGAUUCUACGUCAGUGCUAUGACCACCUUCCGCACCCCUAGCAAUCGCUUUAUUUGAUUAUUGCUGGCAGACUUCGUCUUGGAAUUCUCUGUGCUAUGUGUACCCAGAGCGCACAUUCUAAAGUUUUUAGUAACUCAUGGCUGUUCUAAGUACAGGAUACUGGAAAAAUACAAGUAGCUCUUUGAGUAUUUUUCAACUUAAGUUAGUGGUAUCUUAAAGAGAUCAAACACUUAAGCAUUUAAUACCUACCUUAUCCAGGCCUCACUCGCCACCCACCCCCUCCUCUAAAACACGUUAGAGUCUCUUCGUGGUUGGAGGGACCCUGCCUCUUACUGCUGAGUUACACUCAAAUUAGGCUCAGUGUGCUUUUCAGUGAUGUGCCAUGUUAAGGAGACUUCUUAUAAGCCAACAGGAGUAUACAGCAAAAAGGUGGUUUAUUAGGACCUGAAAUGAUAUUGUGCCUGAAUAAGGACCAGUGUAAAUACACAUCAAACUGAACUAAAUUUCGAGAGUAGGGGGGAAUCUUCUUCACGACACUCCUUACUAAACUCUUCUUUCUAGUAAACUGACUCAGCCUGGGUUGGAAUUUAGAACAGCUGGGCUGGUCUUCCCCAGGUGUCUGUAUUCACUGGACGCAUCUAACUGCUAAGGGGAAGCUUUUGGGAACUGGAGAAGAAAAAGGUGUCUGUUCCUCAGACCUGCAUCAGAACUGUGGUGAGGCUGAAGGGCAUGAGAUUGAGCCCCAGGGUCAAGCUGGGCUGCUGUGAGGCCAAGGUGACUGAUGUAGUAAGGAAGCGAAGCGAUAGCCCCAUUUGUUCAAGAACCAUAGUUUGCUUCUCACAUGGUGAGAAUGAAAUGUGACACGGAGAGAAAUGCAGAUCCCUUUAGCAUAUCUGGAAGGUUGGAAGCUGUUAAACCAGUAGCACUUCCCUUAGGCUUUUGGGCACUUGACAGAAAUAAGGCCAAAGCAGAACUGGAGCCAACUUUUCAUGAGCCUGAGGCCCAGAAAUAACUGAGGGUACUUUGAGAGGUCUUGCUAUUGUGGAUGGUGGUGGUAGAUGUAACAAUCUGGAUUCUGACAUUAUUAUGCUCUCCCUUAUAGGAGGCUGAAACAUGAGCAAAUUGGCUGUCUGUCAUUUGGGGUGGUGUGACAAUAAAAUAUACAAUGCAAAGCUGUUUGUGGGCUGUGAGAUGUUUGAGCAGCUAUAGAAGCAGUCAGUAUGCUCUGUGUUAAUUAAGGCAAUCAUUGGUAAAAGCUAUCUACUUGUCAAAAUGGCAAAUCCCCCACUGAUGACGGCCAGCAGCAGUCCCCAGGUUGGAGAAUGGGAGCCCAGGAGCUGCGUCAGUACAGAUGUUUGAUGGUCCAGGUGGCCACGAGUGAGAGAUUCGGGGUCGUUGAGUGGGCAUGCGCAGCAUCUGCCUGAUUCUCAGGAACUUCCCAGCAUUGCAGGGGCACGCUACUGGCAUUUUCAGGUGACCUCAGGUUGAUUGCAUGCAGCUAUGUACCUUGUCACAUCUUGUGUGCUGAAUGCCCAGCCACCCUCCAGCUGCAACAAAUCUUUAGAGGCCUAAUGAUCAUUAGGCCAAUGGAGAAGUCAUCUGCAGGUAAUAGCGUCCUUUCCUAAAUCCUAGCUAAGUAGGAGCGUUACUGAACUACUAGUAGCUACACUAUAAAACUCAUUGAAGGAUUUGGACCUAUUAAAGUGUUAUUGAGUAACUUAUGCUACAUAAGUUGGUGGCCCUAUUACUACUACUCCUACAACAUGACUGAUUUGGCUGCUAAAUAACUUGAAUAUCAUCCUUAGUUAAGAACUAGAUCUCCAGCCUGUAAGAAGUGUUUGUUACCCCAUUAUGUAUCUGAGAAGUGGGAUCCCAUUUACCUUGUCACACAGGGUUAACUCCAUUUUACUUGGAUGCCUAGGUGCUUUCUCUUCACUCUGCUACUCUAUGAUGCUGGAUUGUUUCUUGUGUGACUGAUGCUAAGAGUAAUGAAUCUCGAAUACUGCUUGUGGCUUUGUUUGGCUCAGUUUUUAAAUUAUGUUCAAUACUUAAAGCACUUUCCAAAUGUGCUCUUAACCACUGAGCUGCAUAAUGGACUGGGCCAGCUUGUGACUAGGAGCCAGUUGUGAUGCAGGAGCUGCUUGUGGGCCACCAGAAGAGGCAGCUAAUCUUCAUGGUAACGAAGUGUUCCCACAACCUGAUGCCUUGUCGAAUUGUGUUAACCUCUAAGAAGUUGCUGUUCUUACAGGCGGCACCUGCUUUGUCUGUUCUUUCAGAAGUUAUUUGGAAAAGCUCAACUCAAAAAUAGUGGUCCCCUCAUCCCAGUCUUGACAGACUUCCACUGUUUUUCCCAAGCCAAGCUUUGGCCGCUACUCCAGCAAUAAAAACAUUUGUGUAAGGUGAGUCUGCAAAUGCCAAUUGUGGUCUUGAGUUAAUGUAACAUGAUUACUCUGGGGAAAGAAAAUCCAAGAGACGGGCCAAAGAUAUGUGACUUGUUGAUGUAGGCAAUUCUUGCACAUGUACUCUUAGGUAACUUCCCUUGCCUAUUGAAACAGAACCAUUCUGGAGGUAAAUGCCCAAACCUGGCAGUAGACAAAGGACCUAGGCAUGGGGAACUGACUGGUAUCUGUUUGACUCAACACUUCAGGCUGAAAGAAAUGUAAUCUCUACUCCAGCUGUCAGACACCCAGUUAGUCACCUCAGUCAGGUGACACUAACAGAUGAAAACCAUUAAAUAUGUUUGUCUAAGAAUCUACAAGAUCUGGGUAAAUGGGUAAUGACUCUGGCAAUAGUUUCCUCAAAUAUUUAAAACCACAAGCAUGAUUCAUAGGGCUUUUGUUUGAAGCUUAGAAACGUGAAAGCUUAGAAUUGCAUCUUACAGGGCUUGUUUUUCUUUAUGAUCAGGUACUAAAUGUAUUGCCUGAGUUUUUGUAACUUGGUAAUUGGCGUGUCCCUACAGUUCUAUGGGGACACUUACUAGCAAUUUGAAUUAAUAGAUCCAUCUAUUAGUGAUUCCUAAGAGUUUGGAAGUUUUCUGAAGUGCCAGCUGUUGAAUGUCUUCCUGUCCUCCACCUAGCCCCAUGAAUUGUUGAAAUUGAGUGUAUUUUAGAAUGUUUUAAAGGUUCCUAUACCUCUUACAGGGGUGAGGAAUCUAUCAGAUCAACCGAUGUCACAAGUUCCUACAUGAACUUGAAAGUAGGACUCCUGAAAUGAUGCCAUGGGCACUCCAAACAAUCAAUUGCACUGUUAAUGUUUUGAGAUCCCCUUCAGAUUGAGGAAGCCAGGUUUAUCUCUAUUUGGUGUCCUUCAUAGUGAAUUCCCCCCAUUGAAUGCAGCUUCUCCACGUUUGUUUCUACUAGGCUGUUUCAUAUAACCUGGAAAUUAGCCUGCUUUAGUGGCCAAUUCAAAGCAGAUCUCUUAAAACACACUGGAUCCUUGAUAUAGAGCCCUUCUGUUUGGGUUCUCUUCAGUAUUGUCCUGGUUCGAUUCUCCUUCAUACUGGUUACUCUUGCCUAAUUUUAUAUCACUUUUCCCCACCUCUCUUGAACUCUUAUGCUCGAGUUCUAUUUCAUACCCUUAAUCCAUUUUUACCACUGUGCUUUAAACUUGAGUAGAUAUUGAUGGUUCUGGUUCCCUCUUUUCCUUUCAUAGGCAUUUUCAGUUUAUAUACAUGUUCGUUGCUAAUAUGUAGGACCAUCAUGUUCUUGGUGAACAGUAGAUCAGGGUCAUGACUUGAUAAAACAUGUGGAUAUGGACAGGGAAUAGUAGGUACAGUAGCUAAGCCUUUAUACCAUUACUCUGAAUGCUUGACAUAUACUGGUUCACUUAUUCAUUAGCAGUAACUACCUUAUGGGGUGGUUUCGUUUAUAGAGAACAGUCUGAGGCCUAGAGGUUGUCACUUUCUAAAUCUCUCAACCUAGGAAAUUGUUCAAUUUAGGAUGUUAAGUGUUUGUAUAAAAUUAAAUCACCCUUAACAAUGACUUGCUAUAAUAUGCCUAGAGAACAAAUGUUUGACCAAAUGUUUAAUAUUGUGGUUAAGGGUUAGGUAUCAUAAAUAUCAAACUGAAUCUGAGUUUGGGUUUACUUUAAGCAGGCGGCUGUCAUUCCGACCUUGCUCAGCAAGAAGCUUAGAUGUCUUAGGGGAACAACAAUCAUUUCCUGUGUCACAAAGUCCUAUCUGCUUGCUCAGCUCUUGUGUACACUGACUCAAGUGUCGACUGUGGGUGACAUGGGGCUUCUACAUUAUGUGAAAGGAAGCUUUUGGUGUGGCAAGGUGACUGGUUAAAUGUCAUGAGCUUAGUCAUGUACACAAUUGCAUCAGACUAAAUGACCAAAUAGAGACAAAGGGUGGAGUAAAUCUGUCAUAAUAACUUGGAACGCAUCUUACUGUCUUUUCCUUCUAUUUUUUGUGGCUUAACUCCAUCUGAUAUCUCUCCUGGCUGUCUUAACAAAAUAAAACCAGUUAAGGGCUGCUGCUUGUCAUACAUGAUUAACUCAUGCAUGUACUUCAGUGAAUCUAGAUUUUACUAUGAAGAAAAUGAACAAUACCUGUCUGAUUCAGUGAAGCAAUCAGUACCUGUCACCUGGCAAACUAGAACUGAUGUAGAAAUCUUACUCUGAGGUGUUAAACCGUCAGUUUCUACUUGCACUGACUUACCUGAGAAAGCAUUUAAGUAGUGGCCUACUGCCAGAUGAAUGUCAACUACUCAGUCCCAGGUAGUUAUCAGCUUUUACAGGUAACACUCAGAGGUCAAUGGCGCAGUCUCCCUUCUGAGAGGUCCUGGGAUUUGAACCCAAGAUCUGGUUCAAAAGCCAGAUACUAGUUCUAUAGCAUGGACAGGUGAGGGGAUGGUUGUGGAAGUGCCCCCCUCCCCCCUGACUCACCUUACUGUCAGUUGCUUCUACUUCCAUAUGAGUGGGUGGUUAACACCUUGCCCUUUGUUCUCCCAAAUACCGAACUCAGUUUUCACUCGCUGACUUGUCUUCCUCUCCAGCUUGCUAGUUCAACUCCUCCCACCUCGGUUCUAUUAAGAUUGUUCUGUGUCUUCACAUGGACUUAGUCUGUUGACCCCUUUACUUUGUCUCAAUAUUCCAGCUGCUGUCUUUAUUUCCUUGGUAACUAGUCUUUUUCCCCAAGUGAGAAUCUUUUUGUUCUGAGCUCUGUUUUGCCUUUCUGAUAAGCUUCAACUCUGUGUGAAUCAAAGUAUCUACUUUAUUCUAGUACUGGAAAAGCAGAGCUUAGCUGAAUUAAUAGACUAGGUGGAUAUUUGCCUCUGAACUCAAACUCAUUACCAAUUUUGGAUUCUCCUAACUGCCAAACAUUGCAGAGAAGCCAGAAAAACGGGGUCAUUGGGCAAUCUUGAUUAGACUCGGCACCCCUGCCAAAUACUUUUGCUUUGUUUUCCUAACAACUACCUCUUGCCUUCAAACAUAAUAAAUAACUUGGUAAAACAUGCAUUAACUAAGUGAUGUAACAUGAAUUGAAAUUUGUGUUUUGGUCUUGUUGAUUCUCACCAAUUCUUGAUUAAACUCACCAACUCAAGUAGCUGCCAUAUUCUAAGAAGGGCUCCCCCACUGACUGUGGUGUUUCUGAGUCAGUCUCUGGUCUCUGCUGGAGGCUCCCUCCCGGAACUGUGUCCCUAGCAGCAAGGACGCUGGGAGAGCGUACUUUGGGUGGUAAGACUCAGUGUGAAACUCUUAAGCGUUUUAAGAGACAUUAGGUCUCUGAAUAUGACAAACUUUGACAAUCAUGUGGAAGGACUUGUCCUAGGGAGGCUUGGGUGACUGUUUCUAACCACCUCAGCAGAUAGCCAUGGCUCCCCUGUCCUCUGGAGGAGCGUAUGAAAUUGAGAACCAGUACCUUCCAGCCGGCUCUAAAAAUGUGGUUCCCUGUAUCUACGUCACUGUGGUAAAGCACUACCUCUUUAAGUGGGAGUAUCCUAAUUUCAGUCAGUUUUUCAGACAAGUUAGCAGAAAGCAAUCAUGGUUUCACAACUUAGCAAAGCUUUCCUUUUUCUGCGGUUACUACUGCCCCCUACUGGAGGAUGUUAAAAGCGCUCAUUGGUUGUUGGGCCCUAUAAUGCUUCAAUAGCAGGAUCCUGUGUGUUUAAGCCAUGCGUCUAUGCCAAGCCUCCACAAACACGAG